GAGUUUGAUCUUGGCUCAGGACGAACGCUGGCGGCGCGCCUAACACAUGCAAGUCGAACGAGCAAGAGAGAGCUUGCUUUCUCGAGCGAGUGGCGAACGGGUGAGUAACGCGUGAGGAACCUGCCUCAAAGAGGGGGACAACAGUUGGAAACGACUGCUAAUACCGCAUAAGCCCACGACCCGGCAUCGGGUUGAGGGAAAAGGAGCAAUCCGCUUUGAGAUGGCCUCGCGUCCGAUUAGCUAGUUGGUGAGGUAACGGCCCACCAAGGCGACGAUCGGUAGCCGGACUGAGAGGUUGAACGGCCACAUUGGGACUGAGACACGGCCCAGACUCCUACGGGAGGCAGCAGUGGGGAAUAUUGCACAAUGGGGGAAACCCUGAUGCAGCGACGCCGCGUGGAGGAAGAAGGUUUUCGGAUCGUAAGCUCUGUUGUAAGAGAAGAACGUGUGUGAG
rnacentral:rRNA from 1 species